rnacentral:rRNA from 1 species
AUUGAACGCUGGCGGCAGGCCUAACACAUGCAAGUCGAGCGGAUGAAGGGAGCUUGCUCCUGGAUUCAGCGGCGGACGGGUGAGUAAUGCCUAGGAAUCUGCCUGGUAGUGGGGGAUAACGUCCGGAAACGGGCGCUAAUACCGCAUACGUCCUGCGGGAGAAAGUGGGGGAUCUUCGGACCUCACGCUAUCAGAUGAGCCUAGGUCGGAUUAGCUAGUUGGUGGGGUAAAGGCCUAACAAGGCGACGAUCCGUAACUGGUCUGAGAGGAGGAUCAGUCACACUGGAACUGAGACACGGUCCAGACUCCGACGGGAGGCAGCAGUGGGGAAUAUUGGACAAUGGGCGAAAGCCUGAUCCAGCCAUGCCGCGUGUGUGAAGAAGGUCUUCGGAUUGUAAAGCACUUUAAGUUGGGAGGAAGGGCAGUAAGUUAAUACCUUGCUGUUUGGACGUUACCAACAGAAUAAGCACCGGCUAACUGCGU